rnacentral:rRNA from 1 species
UACGUAGGGGCAGGCGUUGUCCGGAAUCAUUGGGCGUAAAGCGCGCGUAGGCGGCCCGGUCAGUCCGUUGUGAAAGUCAAAGGCUCAACCUUUGAAUGCCGACGGAUACUGCCGGCUAGAGUCCGGAAGAGGCGAGUGGAAUUCCUGGUGUAGCGGUGAAAUGCGCAGAUAUCAGGAGGAACACCUAUGGCGAAGGCAGCUCGCUGGGACGGUACUGACGCUGAGACGCGAAAGCGUGGGGAGCGAACAGG